rnacentral:misc_RNA from 1 species
GAAAUGCGAUAAGUAAUGUGAAUUGCAGAAUUCAGUGAAUCAUCGAAUCUUUGAACGCACAUUGCGCCCCUUGGUAUUCCGAGGGGCAUGCCUGUUCGAGCGUCAUUACACCACUCAAGCUAUGCUUGGUAUUGGGUGCCGUCCUUAGUUGGGCGCGCCUUAAAGACCUCGGCGAGGCCUCACCGGCUUUAGGCGUAGUAGAAUUUAUUCGAACGUCUGUCAAAGGAGAGGACUUCUGCCGACUGAAACCUUUUAUUUUUCUAGGUUGACCUCGGAUCAGGUAGGGAUAUCCGCUGAACUUAAGC